UAAUAAUAAUAAUAAUAAUAAUAAUAAUAAUAUUUUUUUAUUUAUACCCCACCCUCCCCAGCCAAGACCGGGCUCAGGGCGGCUAACAACCAAUAAUAAAAACAAGUUGAUUAAAAUACAAUUUAAAAGAUUAAGAUACAACAUUAAAACAUUAGGAUGCAGUCUCUUCAUAGGAGGAGAAAGGAAAAAGAAAGAGGGGGAGGGAAUCAAACUGAUUCUAAACCAAAGGCCAGAUAGAACAACUCUGUCUUACAGGCCCUGUGGAAAGAAAUCAGAUCCCGCAGGGCCCUGGUCUCAUGAGACAGAGCAUUCCACCAGGCCAGAGCCAGUGUUGAGAAGGCCCUGGCUCUGGUUGAAGCUAAUCUAACUUCCUUAGGGCCCAGGACCUCUAGGGUGUUGCUAUAUGUGGACCUUAAGGUCCUCCGUGGGGCAAACCAGGAGAGGCGGUCCCGUAUAGCAAAUAGUACUCUUGCAGCUGUAUUCAAUACUAUCUGUAGUUUCUGGACCAUCAUCAAAGGCAGUCCAACAUACAACACCUCACAGUGACCAAAUUAGGUUACCAAGACACACCAGGAUCACUGAAGCCAGGCUAUCUCUGUCUAAGUAUAGUCAUCGUUGGUAUACCAGUCAGGUAAGCUAGCAGAAGGCACUAUAAGAUGGCAGAAGGCACUCUUAUCCUCUGCAUGGGUAAGCCUAAAUGCCCACUGUAAGAGCUCAAUGCACUGAUUUGAUGUGAUUUAUUAUAUUUCUAUGCCGCAUUUCAUUCAAAUGAAUCCCAAAGCGGCUUACGAACAAUAAAUAACAAUAACAUGAUACAGCAUAAUACAUCACAAAUACACCAUAAACAACAUAGAAUAUUUAACAAUUCAUCAGGAAAACCAUUACAAUUCAUAAAACACUUAAAUCAUCAACUAAAAAAUAAGCUAAACAUCACAAAGCAAAAGUCAUAACCUGGGGGGGGGAGCUCUAUUCUACACUUCCUUCCAUUUAUUCAUAGGCCUCUAAGAAGGUAAUCUCAAUAUUCCAGUUUCCAUCACUACCAAAUUAGGGCUGAUUUCUUGAAUUGCCCAGGGCAGUGGCUCUAAGAAGGCUAGCACCUCAGAGCACUCUCUGCACCUCCAUUUUAAACGAGCUUGCUGCCAAAUGUUCAUGCUCUGACCCUGCAAGAUAAUGACCCUAAGCACUGCUGGCUCAUUAAUUAUCGGAUAAUGAAUCAGCCCAACAUGCUCAUAACCCUGAGUCAAAAAGCUGCCACAAGUACGGAAGCACAAUGUUAUAGGGGCUUUGCCAACAGGUGCCAAAAAAGGUCCACAGUCAAACUGGCAACAGAACCCGGGACUCCGCAUUCCCUCUUGUAGAGGCCAGUAAGUCGGCUCCAGUCAUAUCAAGUAGAUCAAAGGCAGUCCCAAAGAGGAAGGUUUCCAUGGCAACAGACUUCCACACAGCUCAUUUAUGUUCCCACAUGUACUGAUAAUAUACAGUCUGUUCAAAGUAGGCUUGUGGCAGAGAGCCCGCCCAGCUUUAACAGAUGUUGACACAGUUCUUGCAGAGGAGUAAGAGUUCUCCACCCUUGGUGCACAUAAUUGGGUCCCCAGUGCACAUGACAAAGGGUAGCGACAGUAGCUAAAGGCUCGUUAUAAUGAUCGUAUCCCAUGUUGACUGGCACAUAGGAUGGGGCGUUUCAAUAGAUGUCCCAGAGGAUUUGGCGGCCUAGAUUCCUACACAGUGCCAAGACUCUUGAAACUUUCCUGGCUUAGAGGCUCACACCCCAUCUGAAUCAGGAGAGACUGUGCAUGCCCUGGACCAGAGUGUGGACUCGGUGAAGGCCAGAAAAAUGAGUCUGAAUCAUUGCAAGAUGGAGGCGCUGCGGAAGCUUCAACUAUUGUGGAAUGUUCUGGCUAGACUGGUGAUAGACUACCACCAACACAUGACAACGGACUUAGAAGACUUGCACUGGCUUUCCAUCUGCUACCAUGUACAAAGUCCUGAACAACCUGGGCUCAGGAUACCUUACUGACUGCUUUACCCCUGCGGGACUUGACAUCUUUCCGCAGGGCCUGCAAGACAGAGCUGUUCCACCAGGCCUUUGGCCAGAGCACAGCCUGACCCCCUCCUUUGGCAAUCCUCACAGAACUCUAGCCCAAUGGUUGCCAUUAAUCUGAUUUGAAUUGAUUUUAUAAUGAAAUGAUUUUAGAAUGUUGUAUCAUUUUAAUGUUGUUAGCCGCUCUGAGCCCAGCUUCGGCUGGGGAGGGCGGGAUGGAAAUAAAAUUUUAUUAUUAUUUU